UACAGAGGUCCCAAGCGUUGUUCGGAUUCAUUGGGCGUAAAGGGUGCGUAGGCGGCGCUGUAAGUCGGGUGUGAAAUUUCGGAGCUUAACUCCGAAACUGCAUUCGAUACUGCGGUGCUCGAGGACUGGAGAGGAGACUGGAAUUCAUGGUGUAGCAGUGAAAUGCGUAGAGAUCAUGAGGAAGACCAGUGGCGAAGGCGGGUCUCUGGACAGUUCCUGACACUGAGGCACGAAGGCCAGGGGAGCAAACGGG
rnacentral:rRNA from 1 species